rnacentral:rRNA from 1 species
AGUGAGCGCUGGCGGUAGGCCUAACACAUGCAAGUCGAACGGCAGCACAGUAAGAGCUUGCUCUUACGGGUGGCGAGUGGCGGACGGGUGAGGAAUACAUCGGAAUCUACUUUUUCGUGGGGGAUAACGUAGGGAAACUUACGCUAAUACCGCAUACGACCUACGGGUGAAAGCAGGGGAUCUUCGGACCUUGCGCGAUUGAAUGAGCCGAUGUCGGAUUAGCUAGUUGGCGGGGUAAAGGCCCACCAAGGCGACGAUCCGUAGCUGGUCUGAGAGGAUGAUCAGCCAAAAUGGAACUGAGACACGGGCCAGGCCCCUAAGGGAGGCAGCAGGGGGGAAUUUUGGACAAUGGGCGGAAGCCUGAUCCAGCCAUACCGCGUGGGUGAAGAAGGCCUUCGGGUUGUAAAGCCCUUUUGUUGGGAAAGAAAAGCAGCAGGUUAAUACCCCGCUGUUCUGACGGUACCCAAAGAAUAAGCACCGGCUAACUUCGUG